UACGAAGGGGGCUAGCGUUGCUCGGAAUUACUGGGCGUAAAGCGCACGUAGGCGGUCUUUUAAGUCGGGGGUGAAAUCCUGGAGCUCAACUCCAGAACUGCCUUCGAUACUGGAAGACUUGAGUCCGGGAGAGGUGAGUGGAACUGCGAGUGUAGAGGUGAAAUUCGUAGAUAUUCGCAAGAACACCAGUGGCGAAGGCGGCUCACUGGCCCGGUACUGACGCUGAGGCGCGACAGCGUGGGGAGCAAACAGG
rnacentral:rRNA from 1 species